rnacentral:rRNA from 1 species
AUACGUAGGGAGCGAGCGUUGUCCGGAUUUACUGGGUGUAAAGGGUGCGUAGGCGGCUCUGCAAGUCAGGUGUGAAAACCAUCGGCUUAACUGAUGGACUGCAUUUGAAACUGUGGGGCUUGAGUGGAGUAGAGGCAGACGGAAUUCCCGGUGUAGCGGUGAAAUGCGUAGAGAUCGGGAAGAACACUAGUGGCGAAGGCGGUCUGCUGGGCUCUAACUGACGCUGAGGCACGAAAGCAUGGGUAGCAAGCAGGAUUAGAUACCCUGGUAGUCCAUGCCGUAAACGAUGAUUACUGGGUGUGGGGGGUCUGACCCUCUCCGUGCCGGAGUUAACACAAUAAGUAAUCCGCCUGGGAAGUACGACCGCAAGGUUGAA